AGGACGAACGCUGGCGGCGUGCUUAACACAUGCAAGUCGAGCGGAAAGGCCCUUCGGGGUACUCGAGCGGCGAACGGGUGAGUAACACGUGAGUAACCUGCCCCUAGCUCUGGGAUAGCUCCGGGAAACCGGGAUUAAAUACCAGAUACGACCACUUUAGACAUCUGUCGUGGUGGAAAGGAUUCCGGCUAGGGAUGGGCUCGCGGCCUAUCAGCUUGUUGGUGGGUAACGCCUACCAAGGCGACGACGGGUA
rnacentral:rRNA from 1 species